rnacentral:rRNA from 1 species
UACAGAGGUCUCAAGCGUUGUUCGGAUUCAUUGGGCGUAAAGCGCGCGUAGGCGGCUUUGCAAGUCGGGUGUGAAAUCCCCAGGCUUAACCUGGGAACUGCGUCGGAUACUGGAUGGCUUGAAUCCGGGAGAGGGAUGCGGAAUUCCAGGUGUAGCGGUGAAAUGCGUAGAUAUCUGGAGGAACACCGGUGGCGAAGGCGGCAUCCUGGACCGGCAUUGACGCUAAAGCGCGAAAGCCAGGGGAGCAAACGGGG